rnacentral:rRNA from 1 species
UAGGGAAUAUUGCGCAAUGGAGGAAACUCUGACGCAGCGACGCCGCGUGGGUGACGAAGGCCUUCGGGUCGUAAAGCCCUGUCGGAAGGGACGAAAAACGGAACGGUUAAUACCCGCCCGCUUGACGGUACCUUUAAAGGAAGCACCGGCUAACUACGUGCCAGCAGCCGCGGUAAUACGUAGGGUGCAAGCGUUGUUCGGAAUUAUUGGGCGUAAAGCGCGUGUAGGUGGCUAGUAAAGUCGGGUGUGAAAGCCCUGGGCUCAACCCAGGAAGUGCACUCGAUACUGGCUGGCUAGAAGAUGGUAGAGGUAGGUGGAAUUCCAAGUGUAGAGGUGAAAUUCGUAGAUAUUUGGAGGAAUACCGGCGGCGAAGGCGGCCUACUGGGCCAUUCUUGACACUGAGACGCGAAAGCGUGGGGAGCAAACA